rnacentral:pre_miRNA from 1 species
ACAGGGCAGGUUUUUCUCUCAGCUACGUCGGUGUAAAUCCAGAGCAACUCCACUGAGAUUCACACCAGAGUAACUGAGAGCAGAAUCUGGCCAAC